GGUUAGGCCCAACUCGGGCCCAACCGAAUUGGCCCAAAAAAAUGAAAAGAAAAAUUCAGGCCCAAGUGAGGAGGUGGCCGGCCAUGGUCCUUAAUAAAGGACCCAAGCCCAUUUAAAUUAGUCAUGUGAUUAAUAAUAAAAAGGGGCUAAGUCUUCAUUUUCAACCAAGAACAUUCAUGAAGCAAAGAAGAGAAAAACAAACACAAAGAAGAGCAAAAAUAAGGCCAUUUCGGGUUUGGCCAUAGAAAAAUCACCCCUCAAAAUCUUGCCUCUAAAAUUAUUUUCUUGUUGAAUUCCUACUAAAUUAAGUGUCCUCUACAACUUGGUGUAGUUGUUUUGGAAGAAGGAGCACUUAUUUCUUCAAGUUGACAACUUGUUCAAGUGAAGAAGUUUGUAGAAAAAGAUUUUGGGCGAAACGGGAAUUGAAUUUGGAAAGGCGUAAAGAGCAUACAAGGUACAGACUACAGAUUUGCUGACCCACCUGCCUAGGACACCUAUUCUGCUAUUCUGGAGCGCUCUUUUGUCCAGAGCCUAUACUCUGGUACAGUCUGCUGCUGUUGUAUAUAUGUACGCUAUUCAGGGGUACGACGGGGCCCUGUCCCGUCUUAUGAUUCUGUUAUGUUCUGUAGAGGUCUGUAGACAUACAUGUGGGUUCUGUAUAUGUU